rnacentral:rRNA from 1 species
UACGGGGGGAGCAAGCGUUGUUCGGAUUUACUGGGCGUAAAGGGCGCGUAGGCGGCCACCGCGAAGUCGGUUGUGAAAUCUCCGGGCUUAACCCGGAAAGGUCAAUCGAUACUGCGGGGCUAGAGUGCAGAAGGGGCAACUGGAAUUCUCGGUGUAGCGGUGAAAUGCGUAGAUAUCGAGAGGAACACCUGCGGCGAAGGCGGGUUGCUGGGCUGACACUGACGCUGAAGCGCGAAAGCUAGGGGAGCAAACGGG